ensembl:lncRNA ALDH1L1-AS1 ALDH1L1 antisense RNA 1
ACAGAGGGCGUCCAAGAUGCAGACAUGGUACUCGUUCAGAGCCGCCUCUCCUGUAAGACACCACAAAGGUCACAGCAGCUCCCACCACAGGCAGGGCACUGCUCGGGGCUGCAAGUGUCUUAUUCCUCAGCAACCACGUGGGGGCAGCUCUGGCUCACCCCACUUCCAGGAAGGUGGCCUGGGAGAAGGCAGGAAGAGGAGGCCGACAGGGACAGAGGAAGCAGGAGUGUCCAGCCUACACAUGCGUGCAUAGACAGAGCCCUAAGACCUGCUGCACUGAGGUCAAUCCUGCCUGACCUCACUGAGAUUCAAUCCUGCCUAACUUAGGAAUAAUCAAGAGACUGGGAAUUUUCUCACUCUAGUUUUUAGAGAAAUAGAAAAUUUCAAACCAUGUUAAAAAGUUAUUUAAUAAAAUGUUCAAUAUUUUUCAUACAUAC